AAAACUUCCACCCGGCCGCGUCGAAGACACUCUCUCCGCAGCCACAUCUCCUCUGCCCCCUCCCACGACCUAGGGUUAGCCGCCGCCGACAACGACUUUAUCGGUGAGCUCCGGCAGCCAUGGCCUGCGCACGGGACGUUACCGAGCUCACGUAGACAUGCUGCGUUGAUCCCUCCGCCCAGAUCCGUCCAUCCCUGCCUACAAUGCUCGUCCCAAUCCACUCCCCACGGUUAGGGUUUGGGGUGCGACCUCGUCUCUGCCACCUGCGUGCCUCUAGCGAGCUCCGGCGGCCAUGGCCGGCGCGCAGGACGUUGCCGAGGUCUCCUCGUCAUGCUGUGUUGAUCCAUCCGAGCAAAUCCAUCCCUCCACGCCUCCAAUGCUCAUGCCCAAUCCAUCCGCAGUUAGGGUUUGGGGCACGGCCUCGUCUCCGCCACCGGCGGUCUUCUACGUCGCUUGAUUUGGGAAGAAAAUUUCAUUUUUCCAUUGUACAAUUUCUGAUCUGAAUGGUUUGUUUUUAGGGGCAUCAGUUUGGUCUAUUCCGUGACCAGAUAAAAUGAGUAGAAGGGGAUGAGGAUGGAGUAGAAGGUGUAAAAGGACGAGAAAGAUGAGAAACAGGCAAGGGAGGUGGGGCGAUCUGCAUGCCUAUGGAGAUCUAAAUGUUUCUUGUUUAAUCCUUUUUUAUGUUGCAUGCUCUCUGAUUUUAGAGUAGAUUGCUUUACAGCAUGUUGAAUAGAUUUGUGCAUGUUCAUUUUUCUAUGGUGACUUGGGUUUGACCAGAGAAAAGAGGAAGGCUUUCUUAGAGAGCAAAUCUAUGGUGCAACCGUCGUCCAGGUCCAUCAAAUCAGCAACAGCUUGGGUGGCGGUGCAGGACACAGCCACCUUGUGAUUCUUCUUCCACUCCGAUGAAUCCAGUCGUUCUUCUUCUUCUCCGACAUAUCUGGAGAGCAUAUCUACAGAAGAGAAAAAACUCGAUGGAAAUCAUGGUCAUUACAGGCCCAUAGAACUUGUUACGCUCCAGGGGCACCAAGAUUGGUUGUGCAAAGCUUGUUUUCGGUAGGAGGUGUUGCAUACUCUAUUUGGAGAAGUCCGAAGAAAAUGGUUCAUCUUGCUGCACAACCCAUCAGAUAAAAGUGUACAAGCAAUGAGUGUAUCACUCAGAGACAUGGAGUAGGAGGACGAGCAACUACUGUAAAUAAGCCUGAUGAUGGAGGGGGGCGGGAGGCAAUGGUAAUGAUGCCUAUGACAUGACCACAACCUAGACUUUAUGGCAUUUAGAGGUGGCAAACAGAGGCGGCGCGCAGACAGCAACCUGGACCACCAGCCUCCCUUGCCUUUUUGGUUUUGCUUGUGGUUGUUGCAUCAUCGGCGGCAUCGCGAAUCAGUAUGUAGUGCGCUUGUGGAGUUGGGGUAUGUACUAUAGUGUCCAUGUAGUAGGUUAGGUGGUGUUGUUUCUAGAUUCAAUGAUGUGUUUUGCCUUACAUGGAGGCCAACCUUUGUGAUCUUAUUUGUCGACACUUGUUAUAUUGA